AUGAUUUACAUGCUUAUAGCACAUUUAAGCGUGUUUUAUUUAUCAGGGACCAUCAUUAACAUGUUUCCUCUCUUUCUUUUAUGCAGCAUUGCCUGCAUGUCAAGUUGGCCACUUCCCUUGGACAGGCAGCCAAGAGAUCAAGACCCAACAAUUACAGACCAUCUUUAUCAAGCCAAAGCACAAAAAUACAACAUCUUCCUGUGUUUUUCCAACCAAUUAGGGCAGCCCAUAGCCAAGGACACUUUGCUAUGGCAAAAGACAAAUGGAGAGACAACUGUCCCUGAAGUCAGAACAGGUGCUGCGGGACAGGCCAGAGUCCGGCAGGACAACUGUACUAUUCCUGUCCGGAACAGAGCCGGCUGAUUGCGGAUCCACAGAGACUAAUGACAGAUGGACAGGUGGGGAAGCCCUCGAACGGCCCGGAGGUUUGUGCUUUACACUCCAAGAGAAUGAUGGAGUAACCUUUUCCACAACAUAGACACAAUUGAUGGCGCUAUCAAAGAGUAAUUGUUCAUAAAUUUGUUAAAUCAGCAUGUGUUUGUUUCUAAUAGUGUUCCUCUGUCCUCUGGAAACAGAUUUAUUCACUACGAUGAGCAAUUUCCACACAAACAGACUCGUGGAAAAACAGCGCGAAUCAUGCAGCUGCAACACCCCGCGCCUAUUAACAUGACUUUGACCUCACACAUCCGGGUCAGUGCAUCCGAGCAGGGGGAAUAAAGGCAGAGCUGGUCCCAGUAUUGUGAGUUCCCAAUUACCCCUUGAGUGAGAUCCACAGAGCAGAAUGACUGCAGGUGAGAAGUUCCUAUUAACAUGACUUGUACCUCACACAUCCGGGUCAGUGCAUCCGAGCAGGGGAAUAAAGGCAGAGCUGGUCCCAGAAUGUGAGUUCCCAAUUACCCUUGAGUGAGAUCCACAGAGCAGAAUGCUGCAGGUGAGAAGUUGGAUGGGGCUUCUGUGAUGGGCUGGCAGAGACACAAUCAACCUCUGUGGCACCGGCUUGGAAUCGCUGUGUGUCUGCGAUGAAAAAUGCUGAGGGCACAAGACAAAACAGUACACAGACUAAUGAAUUCAAUGCAUGUGUAAUUUAUUACAAGCAGACGGGCCCCUCGUUUCUUUCUGGUGUGGCAAAUUAAAUCAAAUUAAAUAAAAUCAAGAUGGAGUGAUUGAGAUGUCAUGUAAGGUCAUUAUACUUUGACCCACAAAAAGUUCACAAGAUACUAUUAUAUAUACAUAAUAGUAUCAUAAAUGUACUUUAUUUGGUCAUUUGACGUCAUUCAUGUCAUUUCAAACACAUAUGCAAUUAAUUUUUUCACUUGGAAGAGGAAAGGAGACAUCUUAAAAGAAUAUUUAUGACUGUUCAUGGUGAC
rnacentral:lncRNA from 1 species